AUGCAGGAUGGAUCCGGCAUGGCGGCCGGGCCGACAAGGAAGAGGACCAGUGAAGGGGUGCUCGACAAGGCGGCGCUGGCACCAAUGCCGGUGCUCAUAUUCAAGGCAGGGGCAAGGCGGAGGCCCGCGAUGGUGCAAAGGUUGGUAGCUGCUACAUACAUGUUGCUUUAUGAUCUUGCCUUCUUGGAAGUGGGCACUUACCCAGCUAGCACCGCCGAGCUACCGCUCAGGCGGCGCGCCACGGGCGCGCCCCAGCUGCUAGUCCUCAUGCACUGGAGCAUGCAUGCUGCCUAA
rnacentral:rRNA from 1 species